UCCAGACUCCUACGGGAGGCAGCAGUGGGGGAUAUUGCACAAUGGGGGGAACCCUGAUGCAGCGACGCCGCGUGGGUGAAGGAGUGCUUCGGCAUGUAAAGCCCUAUCGGCAGGGAAGAAGCAAGACGGUACCUGACUAAGAAGCCCCGGCUAACUACGUGCCAGCAGCCGCGGUAAUACGUAGGGGGCGAGCGUUAUCCGGAUUCACUGGGUGUAAAGGGAGCGUAGACGGCAAUACAAGUCGGAAGUGAAAUACCCGGGCUCAACCUGGGAACUGCUUUGGAAACUGUAUGGCUGGAGUGCUGGAGAGGUAAGCGGAAUUCCUAGUGUAGCGGUGAAAUGCGUAGAUAUUAGGAGGAACACCAGUGGCGAAGGCGGCUUACUGGACAGUAACUGACGUUGAGGCUCGAAAGCGUGGGGAGCAAACAGGAUUAGAUACCCUGGUA
rnacentral:rRNA from 1 species